rnacentral:tRNA from 2 species
AAAGAAUUAGUUAAACAAUAACAUUAGAAUGUCAAACUAAAAUUACUAAAGAUUUAGUAUUCUUUG